rnacentral:rRNA from 1 species
AGGGCAUGUGCUACGUGGGGUCGAGCGGUAUAUACUUAAGCGAAGCUUCGGAAGAGCGAGAGUAUAGAGAGCGGCGGACGGGUGAGUAACGCGUAGGCAACCUGCCCCAUACAGAGGGAUAGCCUCGGGAAACCGGGAUUAAGACGUCAUAACGCGAAAGAGUCACAUGGCUUUUUCGCCAAAGAUUUAUCGGUAUGGGAUGGGCCUGCGUCUGAUUAGCUAGUUGGUGGGGUAACGGCCUACCAAGGCGACGAUCAGUAGCCGACCUGAGAGGGUAAUCGGCCACAUUGGAACUGAGACACGGUCCAAACUCCUACGGGAGGCAGCAGUGGGGAAUAUUGCACAAUGGGCGAAAGCCUGAUGCAGCAACGCCGCGUGAGCGAUGAAGGCCUUUGGGUCGUAAAGCUCUGUCCUUGGGGAAGAAAAAAAUGACGGUACCCUUGGAGGAAGCCCCGGCUAACUACGUGCCAGCAGCCGCGGUAAUACGUAGGGGGCAAGCGUUAUCCGGAAUUAUUGGGCGUAAAGAGUGCGUAGGUGGUUUUGUAAGCGCGGGGUGAAAGGCAAUAGCUCAACUAUUGUAAGCCCUGCGAACUGUGAGACUUGAGUGCAGGAGAGGAAAGUGGAAUUCCUAGUGUAGCGGUGAAAUGCGUAGAUAUUAGGAGGAACACCAGUGGCGAAGGCGACUUUCUGGACUGUAACUGACACUGAGGCACGAAAGCGUGGGGAGCAAACAGGAUUAGAUACCCUGGUAGUCCACGCCGUAACGAUGAGCACUAGGUGUCGGGGUCGCAAGGCUUCGUGCCGCAGUUAACGCAUUAAG